rnacentral:rRNA from 1 species
UACGUAGGAGGCAAGCGUUGUCCGGAAUUACUGGGCGUAAAGCGCGUGUAGGUGGUGGGACAAGUCUGCUGUGAAAGCGCCUGGCUUAACCGGGCGAGGUCGGCGGAAACUGUUCGACUUGAGGACGGUAGAGGGGGGUGGAAUUCCCGGUGUAGUGGUGAAAUGCGUAGAGAUCGGGAGGAACACCUGUGGCGAAGGCGGCCCCCUGGGCCGGCCCUGACACUGAGACGCGAAGGCGUGGGGGAGCGAACGGG